CCCCAGGUUCGUACCAACCACUUUUCCCCUCUGGCCUACUCCAGCCUAGACCAUGGCCUACCCCCUUCCUAUUCCACCUAAAUCCUUUUUAACCCACGCCCUAUUCCGCCACAGCACAUGACUUGACCCCCUUAAGCUCAUGUGCGACCCCACCACACAUAAAUCAUAAAUAGGGCCUGGGUAAUACUAUCCUGGAAACCCAAAUUAAGCAAAUCAGAGCCCACAUCCGACAAAUGCACCCUAUCCUUCCUAAAAUACCCGGGCAGCAUGCCCUCCAACUCUCGGUGCUGCACAACCACACCACCUAUCCUUCUAACGAAAACUGCUAUUGUCUUAUUGACCUUGCCCCUACAUCGCGCUACAGCAGCCUGAUCCCUGGCGUAUCUCUAAGUAAAACGAGGCACCAUUUCCGACCAUACAACUACCACUCCAGGAACCAGCUCCCGCAGCUAAUCC